GAUGAACGCUGGCGGCGUGCCUAAUACAUGCAAGUCGAGCUGACAGAUGAGGAGCUUGCUCCUCUGUCGUUAGCGGCCGGCGGGUGAAUAACACGUGGAUAACCUUCCUAUAUGGCUGCGAUAACUUCGGAAGACCGGAGAUACUAGCGAUUAAUAUAUUAAGCCACAUUAUUCUAUUGAAAGAUACAGUUUUUGUGUGAGUUAUAGACGGAUCAGCGCCGCAUUGGCUAGUUGGUGAGGUAACAGCUUGACUAGGGAACGCUGCGUAGCCGAACUGAGAGGAUGAGCGGCCACACUGGAACGGAGAACCGGUCCAGACUCAUAAGGGAGGGAGCAGUAGGGAAUCGUGCGCAAGGGGCGAAAGCCUGACGGAGCAACGCCGCGUGAGUGAUGAAGGUCUUCGGUUCGUAAAACUCUGUUAUUAGGGAAGAACAAAUGUGUAAGUAACUAUGCACGUCUUGACGGUACCUAAUCAGAAAGCCACGGCUAACUACGUG
rnacentral:rRNA from 1 species